CACGCUGUAAACGAUGAGUGCUGAAUGUGGGGGCUUUUGCUCUGUGUUGUAGCUAACGCGUUAAGCACUCCGCCUGGGGACUACGGUCGCAAGACUAAAACUCAAAGGAAUUGACGGGGGACCCGCACAAGCGGUGGAGCAUGUGGUUUAAUUCGAUGCAACGCGAAAAACCUUACCACUUCUUGACAUGGAGGCUAGAUCCUUCUUAACGGGAGGGCGCAGUUCGGCUGGGCCUCGCACAGGUGCUGCAUGGCUGUCGUCAGCUCGUGUCGUGAGAUGUUGGGUUAAGUCCCGCAACGAGCGUAACCCUCAUCCUUAGUUACCAGCGGGUAAUGCCGGGCACUUUAAGGAAACUGCCAGUGAUAAACUGGAGGAAGGUGGGGAUGAUGUCAAGUCAGCACGGCCCUUAUGGGGUGGGCUACACACGUGCUACAAUGGCGACUACAAUAGGUUGCAACGUCGCAAGGCUGAGCUAAUCCGUAAAAGUCGUCUCAGUUCGGAUUGUCCUCUGUAACUCGAGGGCAUGAAGUCGGAAUCGCUAGUAAUCGUGGAUCAGCAUGCCACGGUGAAUACGUUCUCGGGUCUUGUACACACUGCCCGUCACGCCAUGGGAAUUGGCUUAACUCGAAGCUGGUGCGCCAACCGUAAGGAGGCAGCCAUUUAAGGUUGGGUCGGUGACUGG
rnacentral:rRNA from 1 species